rnacentral:rRNA from 1 species
CUCCAGAAUCCUAAGGGAGGCAGCAGUGAGGAAUAUUGGUCAAUGGCCGAGAGGCUGAACCAGCCAAGUCGCGUGAGGGAAGACGGCCCUACGGGUUGUAAACCUCUUUUGUCGGGGAGCAAAGCGAGUCACGUGUGACUCAUUGAGAGUACCCGAAGAAAAAGCAUCGGCUAACUCCGUGCCAGCAGCCGCGGUAAUACGGAGGAUGCGAGCGUUAUCCGGAUUUAUUGGGUUUAAAGGGUGCGUAGGCGGAAGGUUAAGUCAGCGUUCAAAUGUCGGUUCUCAACACCGGCCUGCCGUUGAAACUGGUCUUCUUGAGUGAGCGAGAAGUAUGCGGAAUGCGUGGUGUAGCGGUGAAAUGCAUAGAUAUCACGCAGAACUCCGAUUGCGAAGGCAGCAUACCGGCGCGCAACUGACGCUCAUGCACGAAAGCGUGGGUAUCGAACAGGAUUAGAUACCCG